rnacentral:RNase_P_RNA from 1 species
GGGAGAGAGAGCCUGGCUGCCGCGGCGAACGUGUCGGCGACGACGCGUUCGUUUGCUGAUGGCAUCCCAUCGGAUUGCCCAACGCUCAUACAGUGGCCCAUCUCAUUGAGAUGCGCCACGUACGCGAGGAAAGUCCCCCCACCUGUUCGGGCAGGUGACCGGACGCAAGUCCGGAGUGGGAGACCACUGGCUCUGGAACAGAAACGACACGUCUUGGCCUGACCGAUGAUGCGUGCGAACCCAACCGAGAGGACGGGGAGUGAACCCGCAGAGGGACACGCAGUCGUUCAGACUGUCAAGCAAGUGUGGUCGAUAUCGUGGUUCAAACCCACGAGUCACGAACGCGGUUCGACACGUCUCCGAUGUGAGAACGUCGGGACAUGAGACGACGGAAGUCGUCGACCACAGUCGGCGUGACUGGCCACACUUCGACGGCCAAGGAUCGAUGGAACGGCGAAUCCUCACCGGUGCAAGUCCAUGCCGUGGUAGCCCGAACACCCCACGGCUCGCUGUGAGCCGUGGACGGCGUGGACGCUUAGCCAAAUGCCGGGAUGAACAGAAGGGGGCUUACUCCUCUCACCC